UGAUAUAUUGACAAACUCUCAUAGGGCACACUAAAUAACACUUAGAUGUUGACUUUGUCGUGUACAACUGGCUUUCAUUCAGUGAAUUACAUCAAUUAACUGUGUGUUUCGUAUUGGUGCUUUGUGUUUCACGCUGAAAAUUAUCAGUCGUAUUUGAACUAAAUGUAUGUAUAUCAUCCUUUGGAAUAUAUUUUGCGCUUAAUGCACUAUAUUUUAAUAUAACUAAGUGUCACAUUAAAUAUAAGUAUGUAUACAUGUAAUUGGAAGACAUAUUUAUCAUGGAGCAUAGCGAUUUGAAAUACUGAUUAUCCACGAGGGCAAUAGUAAAAUGUUAUCCCUCUAAGUGAAGUGUGCUACAUCUCGGUAUUAUUGCGCUUUGAAAAAGUAAUUGAUACGUGUACAUGCAUAUUAAAGAAAAUGCAUUUUAUGCCGAUUUUGCAUCAUGAAUUAAAUUUACAUAUUAAAUAUGUUAUUUAGACUUUGUUUGCUAUUUCUUUCAGAAACAGUUGACACGGCAAUUUACGAUACACUUGUUAAGAAGGAGGGCGUAAAACGCGUUCAUUUUGGUAACAUUCCAAUAGUGACUUUAAGUGCUAGGUGAUUGCCGAUAGGGGGCGCUGGACGAAUGGUGGAGAAUUUGUGUGCAGAGUAACGAUCUACCAAAUAAUGUUCAAAUAACUGUCUUCGAACGAGCUCAAACAAUGAUAUUAUGUAUUGCAAAGUCAUUGCUUUAGAUGAUGAGCAGAGUCCUUAUAUAGCCUCAUUUAGACAUGUUUGAUCCUUGGUUGCUCUGUGCAUGUUGAGAGUGUGUACUGGCUACAUAAUUGGUUUGCUAGAAUGCCGUAUAUAUCUUGAUUAGAUCGUGUUGUGAUGGAAAUGCUUAUCUUCAAUAAUCUCCCGUGUCACGGGAAUACACUCAAUGACGUCCGGAUUUCCUUGUAUUGGUGGUCGGACAUUUUGUUACGUUCAAUUAAUUUGAUUUCGUUCCGUUAUUACGACUCAUUGGUAACCUUUGGGAGCUGAAUGGCUUAUAUCCAAUAUGAAACUAGUAUACCACAUGUCAUGUAAUAUAUUUCUAGUAAAGUCGUCUUUUUAUGCUUUUUCUUGCGUUUUCUUUCCCUAUUUAACACAGGUGGGACAUGUUAUUAGAUAUAGAGAAAUAUGCCUCAUGUUGUAGCCCCAAUGCUAUUUCAAUUUUCAAAGUAAUUUAUUUAAGAGAGAAAUGCCUAUUUUUGUAAAAGAGUUUGAAAUAAUUAAAGGCUUUGUUUUCAGAGAUUGCGUUAUUUCCAAUACCCUAGCCGUAACCUUUAACAGCAUAUUUAUAUAUUCAUCCACAUUCAAUCGAUUCGAAAAGAAUCCACAUGACAUGCAUUUUAAAUUUCGUGUAGGCAAAUUUACUUCUUCUAAAAGAAAAUGAAGAUAAUGAUGUAUAACAAGGUCAACUACGGCAGUGACCUUACGUCGACGCUUUUAUCCAUUUCUGUCCGGCAAAAAACGGCAUGUUUCUUCCCGAAUAGUUGUAGUAAUAAACCUUCCUUACUAUCUUACUGUGCCAUCAAUUCGACUACAAAUAGGGUGAAAAAAUUUAGAUGUUGACAAAUAAAUGAAUAAAGUUAAUACAAACCGUUGUUUGUGUUCCCUUGUGUUAUUUGAUUAAGAUACCCAUUCAUGUACUCACUUGUUCACUUGAUAGAGCGCUCUGGAACAUCGUGGAUCUCUGUGUACAUUUGCUUUGACCAACACUAUACAUAUUAAUUUUCAAAAACAAUGUUUAAGAAAGUUAUUAAUAUAAUAUUGUCAUUUUG
rnacentral:misc_RNA from 1 species